rnacentral:snRNA from 1 species
AUCCCCUGUUGGAGAUGUUACGAGCGUCCUCGACCCUCACGAUAUUAAUCUUAUUUCUCUCAGGGUGCGGGUCCAAUUCGGCAGCUUGCUGUCGAGGAUCUGCUAGUGUCGCCUCGGAAUUGCACUACCUCCUUGGCCGGCGCAACCCAC